AGUGAACGCUGGCGGUAGGCCUAACGCAUGCAAGUCGAACGGCAGCACAGUAAGAUCUUGCUCUUACGGGUGGCGAGUGGCGGACGGGUGAGGAAUACAUCGGAAUCUACUUUUUCGUGGGGGAUAACGUAGGGAAACUUACGCUACUACCGCAUACGACCUACGGGUGAAAGCAGUGGAUCUUCGGACCUUGCGCGAUUGAAUGAGCCGAUGUCGGAUUAGCUAGUUGGCGAGGUAAAGGCCCACCAAGGCGACGAUCCGUAGCUGGUCUGAGAGGAUGAUCAGCCACACUGGAACUGAGACACGGUCCAGACUCCUACGGGAGGCAGCAGUGGGGAAUAUUGGACAAUGGGCGCAAGCCUGAUCCAGCCAUACCGCGUGAGUGAAGAAGGCCUUCGGGUUGUAAAGCCCUUUUGUUGGGAAAGAAAAGCAGCAGGUUAAUACCCCGCUGUUCUGACGGUACCCAAAGAAUAAGCACCGGCUAACUUCGUG
rnacentral:rRNA from 1 species